UUCUUCCGGCCGCUCUGACCCCGGGGCUGCGGCUCCGAGAUAGCUCAGGGCCUGGAAGUGCAUGCUGGGACCAACUACAUAAUCCUUGGUAAGAAAAGGAGGUGGCCCUGACAAGUGCAACUCGAGAAAUGCAAUGCUGUAGAGUCCAAAGGUGUCUGACUUGAACGAAAUGAUCCCACUGGGGGACAAUGCAACAUAUACUCCAGGGUCAUGUUUUGUCAUGAUGCAGCAAGGAGAUCUGUUCCUAACUUGGACUUGGUUGUCUAACCCUCAUCUCUUCUCUUUAUUACAAGGUGAACUGGAACUUACACCUUGCUUCUCCUGUUCUCAGGAGACUUGGACUGGAACUAUACCACCAGCUGUCUCGGAUCUCCGGCUUGCAGACGGCACAUCAUGGGACUUCUCAGUCUCCAUCACUGCAUGAGCCAAUUCCUUAUAAUAAAUCUCUGUCUCUCUCAUUAUACAUAUCUUGGAGAACCCUCAGGAACCUUGACUAAUACACAAGAUAAAUUCAGUUUUAAUUGUA
rnacentral:lncRNA from 1 species